rnacentral:rRNA from 1 species
CAGUCGCCACGGUAAUGCGUAGGUGGCAAGCGUUGUCCGGAAUUAUUGGGCGUAAAGGGCUCGUAGGCGGUUUCUUAAGUCUGAUGUGAAAGCCCCCGGCUCAACCGGGGAGGGUCAUUGGAAACUGGGAAACUUGAGUGCAGAAGAGGAGAGUGGAAUUCCACGUGUAGCGGUGAAAUGCGUAGAGAUGUGGAGGAACACCAGUGGCGAAGGCGACUCUCUGGUCUGUAACUGACGCUGAGGAGCGAAAGCGUGGGGAGCGAACAGGAUUAGAUACCCCCGUAGUCCCUGUCUCUUAUAU